rnacentral:ncRNA from 1 species
CAGUAGCACUUAUAGGAACUGUCUGGAGUGACCACGAAAGUGGUAAUUUUGCCAUUAUUUAAAAGACUACAAGGGCA